UACAGAGGUCCCGAGCGUUGUUCGGAUUCACUGGGCGUAAAGGGUGCGUAGGUGGUGAGGUAAGUCGGAUGUGAAAUCUCGGGGCUCAACCCCGAAACUGCAUUCGAUACUGCGUGGCUAGAGUGCUGGAGGGGAGACUGGAAUUUACGGUGUAGCAGUGAAAUGCGUAGAUAUCGUAAGGAAGACCAGUGGCGAAGGCGAGUCUCUGGACAGCAACUGACGCUGAGGCACGAAGGCCAGGGGAGCAAACGGG
rnacentral:rRNA from 1 species